AAAAUCAUAUUUGUGGAGAAGAUUCUUUGGAUGCGUUUCUCAGUUAUUCCGUGCCAUUUGCUACGAACGGUUUGCCGAUCAGCACCUAAAGCUCCACAGCUGCACCCAGAAAAACAACAACAUCAUCAACAACAACAACAAGCAACAACAUGAAUGAAGCUAGGAGUUUGUUCACCACCUUCCUCAUCCUGGCAUUCUUGCUCUUCCUGCUCUAUGCCUUCUACGAAGCCGCUUUCUAAAUAUGUUCAUGUUUUUGGGAAUACUCUUAGUUCAAACGAUAUACUUACAUGUUGAAUUUCAAUUUCAAUUCCAACACAACAAUUUAUAAAUCAACACUUAUGCCUAGGAUUUGUAGAGCGUUACGCGUUUAAGCCGCUAGCAUUUAAUGGAUUUCUCUUAGUACCCUAAGUCAGAUGACGUCACAGCCGCAGGCGGAAAGCAGCUGCUCGGUUCGGAGGCUUGACAUCAACCAACGGCCUGCAACGGAGCGAGUGUAUGUGACGUGUGCUGUGCUUGAUUAAGCGAAUGUUUCGGUCCAUUUGGGUUAUCGAUAAAUGAUGUGAUCGAAAUGGCACGCUGCGCCGCGCCGUUUCAACGUUGGCCUGGGAGCUUUGGCGUCAUCUGUUCUAAUCAUAAAUAUUAAUUUUGCAAUUUUCGUUUCGCAAUGGAAUUAAUCGAAUUUUGAAUUUACAAUUUAUAGACCAUAAUGUACAGUAUGAUAAGUGUGCAAUAGCAAGACAACAACAACAGCACAAUGCGCACAUAGAGAAAUUGUAUAUUUCAUUGUUUAACACUUUGCACACAUAAUAUCUAAGAUCUUUAUUUAAUAAUUGCAUUUUUCGUAAAUAACAACAACAAUACCAGCAACAAAUGCAUAACAAUAACAACCAAAUGCAGGAAUAAAAAAAACAACAAAAACAA